GCUGACAUCACAAUAGCAGCCGCCCUAGGCUGGAUUGUGAAUUCAUGCAUAGAACCAGACCUGCUCUACACCUAAUGCCAAAAAAAGCCUGCAAAGUUCUCCUCUGCUACAAAGCAACACAAAAAGCCCUCCUAGUCCAUCACCUGUUGCUCAAGGCAUGUAAGAGCAGGAACACACUCAGCCCCUAGAGCCCACACUGAGAAGCUGAGCACUGAGAAGGGACCAGGAUAUGAGGAACCACAUUAGUGGUCUUUGGCCACUAUUUCUGCUGAGCAAAAAUCAGAAGGCUUGUUCCUUUGUGGUAGAAAUCAGAAAACAAGGAGAAGAAGCACUGCUUUAAUUACAUUUAGAGGUUUCUCCUAGGUACAGAGACAUGGUCAUGGAUCUUUCUGUAUAUAUAUUUUAUUUAUAUAUACACAUAUAUAUAUCUAUAUAUAUGUAUGUGUAUUAUAUUAUUGAAUACUAUAUAUUCAAAACAUUUUACAUCAUAGCUAUGGGAAAUGGCAUUCCCACAGCAGGGAAAUGCCAUGACAGAAAAUGCAAGGAGGAUCGUUCUGUCUGACUCACUCUAACAGGGAGGCCUUGGGACCAAAGCACCACCACCAUUUUUUCCCCCAUUUUUCUCCUUCCACAAUAUUGCUCAGGAGGCGGGGCUGAAAUGGGUGGCACGGAAGUGGCAGCUCUGACACACAGCUGAAACCAUCAGGGCCAGGGUGGCAUGUGGGACUGUUUUUCCACUGCAACAGAACAAGGCAAGCCAGAGUGGUGACACUGAUCCCAAGUGAGUCCAGCCAAGCCAAGUGGAGCCCAGCAGGGUGGUAGGAAGAGGCAGCAAAGUGGCAGAUCCCAUUCCCACACACAUGCCCAGCGUGGCAGACUGAUGGCAGUGGCAGUGCCAAACAGAGCUCUGCAGGGACAGAGAGACACCCAUCACCAUCGCCACUGCCACCAUCCCUGCUGCAGAGAGGGAGCAGGAAACUGCCACUGCAGGUGCACAGCUGCUCCAGGCAGCACCAGCAGCCCCCAUCUACCAUCAGAACCAUUCUGAGAGAGAGGAGAGGCUUUACAAGGACUACCUCAAGAAGAGGACAUAGAAUGGAGGGAAGGCCUUCGAAAGAAUAAACAACCUUCAUGCUGCCGCUUUUGCAAGGAAUAAAUAUCCAGGUUUCUUAAUAUCCAGCCACAAAUCUGUGGAGUCUUGACAGCCAAGAAGCACAGGAACCUGGACACCUUGUUGUGAGAGACUAGAGGAGAUUGCUGGCUCAACACUUUUCAGGGGCUUGUAUGUGGGGAAGGGGCAGAUCAAGCCUUGCUCUGGUGAGGCCAUGCCCCACUCGGCAUGCCCCACACCCCCAGGCCUGUAUCCCAGCCCAGCAGCGGCCACUGAUCCCUGGCACACCAGAGGCAAUGCCCCACACCUGUGUCUGGAGCCCCUAACCCAGCUCCUAAAUGGCCAGGUGAGUGGGAGCCCCAUGAGGGGGAAGGCCCCAGGAGAGCCAAAGGCUAUUUACCUUGGGAUAUGUGGCCACCAUAUGUCUUGACCCUACCUCUUCUUGGAAUUUCUAUCGGCUGAACACCACUGGAACCUGGAGUGAUAGCUGUGUUGGUUCUUUUCUGUCAUUCUCUUUUUCUCUUUCUUCUCCCUUUUCCCUCCUCUCAGAUUUUUGAAAAUAACUUAAAAUGUAACAGGUUUAGUAAUCUAAAUGAAAAUUAACUUACUAAGAUUAUAAGUUGAAUGGGCUAAAUUAAUGCUUCAUAGAAUGUUUUAUGUUGAUUGAAUCCUGCUCUAAAUUAUUUUUGCCUUUCAAGUUCUCUGAUUUUCAAAUGUUGCCAGUGAAGGGUUUUGAUGUUGUUCCGAACUCUUGAGAACAUCUCGUCAGUAUUUCUCCUGCUUUUCUAACUUACAGUACAUGAACAAGUUUAAAUUCUUUUAAAGUAUCUCAUAGACCAACGUUUUUGGAGGCUUGCAUUUUAAUUGGCACAGCAAGCAGGGUACUCUUGAGGUGAUAUGGGCCUUUUAUACAGCAUUAACUGUUCAUGACAUAAUAAAGGAGAAAUAAAUUUUCAGUCAAA